rnacentral:rRNA from 1 species
AGCGAACGCUGGCGGCAGGCUUAAUACAUGCAAGUCGAGCGCCUGUAGCAAUACAGGAGCGGCAGACGGGGGAGUAACACGUGGGUACGUGCCCUUUGGUUCGGAACAACACAGGGAAACUUGUGCUAAUACCGGAUAAGCCCUUACGGGGAAAGAUUUAUCGCCAAAGGAUCGGCCCGCGUCGGAUUAGCUAGUUGGUGAGGUAAUGGCACACCAAGGCGACGAUCAGUAGCUGGUCUGAGAGGAUGAUCAGCCUCAUUGGGACUGACACACGGCCCAAACGCCUACGGGAGGCAGCAGUAGGGAAUAUUGGACAAUGGGGGCAACCCUGAUCCAGCCAUGCCGCGUGAGUGAUGAAGGCCUUAGGGUUGUAAAGCUCUUUCGGCGGGGAAGAUAAUGACGGUACCCGCAUAAGAAGCCCCGGCUAACUUCGUGCCAGCCGCCGCCGUAAAAC